UAUUUCUGACUAGUCCGGACUCGUACGGGAUCGCAACUAUAAUUUAACUAAGCGCUUUAGUUAUAUUAGCAAUGGAGCAAAAGAUACGGAACAGGGGGGGGAUAAUUGGACUGCGGACUGUGGAUAUAAAAUAUAAUUCAUUGUGUUUAAAUAAUUUUUAAGGUUUUGCUUCAAGAAUUAGUUCGUGAACGGGUGAAAAUUAUUGAAAAUAAGAACACGGAUACAAACUCAAAUAAGGCGAAACAAGAGGCCUAGAGAGACUUACAAGAGAGCUUCAGUGAGAUAUGUGCAACUAAGCGAACUGUGAUCCAAUUGAAAUCAGAGUGGACUAUUGUGAAAAUGACGGCAAAAAAAGCGAAGUCGAAAGAGAGGCGUGAACUUUUGAAAACUGGCGGUGGGGCGCAUACUGUUGCUGAACCAUUAUCAAACGAAGACAUCUCCGUUUGGCAGCCAAAUGAGUUUGUUGUCAACUUCAAUUCAUUUCAAAUCAGCAGGUUGUAGUAUUGGAAGAAUCCUUGCCCAUACAAAAUAGCGCCGAAUUGGAGGGAUGCGAAAAAAGUAAUAUCGAAGCAGACGCAGUGGAGGUAAUGCAGGAAGCAGACAUCGUUGGCUCUAGCCAAGAUAAUGUUGAAAAUAUAAAGACACCAUCUCUUAAUACUAGUAGGGCAACUAAAAAGCGUAAGCAGGAACGAUUUAUUCACAUUGAAUUGGCGAUAAGGCUGAACCAUAUACUAGCAUGUGUAUAAGGAGUAACAGCUAGUGACUAAAGGUUGACAUUAGAAUAAAGCACCGUGCUCUUUAUUACCCAAGCUAAAGCAUUGAUGAGACUUGAUGGGAAUUUUGGAAUUACAUAGUAUUUAAAUAGCACCUGCAUACAUUCGCAAUCAUAUGUGUGUACCAUGUGAAUGGCACAUUGUACCAAAGUCUAAAUAUCGAUUAUGUUGUUGUUGUUGUAGCGGCUACAACAACCCCGCCCA